rnacentral:pre_miRNA from 1 species
AGCGCUAAUAGACCAGAAUCGAUCUAGUCUCCAUACACGGCGGUAUAAUAUUAUGUGUGUGUAUGGAGAUUAGAUCGAUUUCGGUCUAUUAGCGC